AGCAGCCGCGGUAAUUCCAGCUCCAAUAGCGUAUAUUAAAGUUGUUGCAGUUAAAAAGCUCGUAGUUGAAUUUCGGGAUCAAUAUGUCGGUCGUGCUCUUUGGUACGUACUGGCGUCAUUGUUUCUUCCUUUCUGACGAACCAUGAUGUCAUUCAUUUGGUGUUAUGGGGAGUUAGGACUGUUACUUUGAAAAAAUUAGAGUGUUUAAAGCAGGCUAACGCUUGAAUACAUUAGCAUGGAAUAAUGAAAUAGGACGAGCGAUCCUAUUUUGUUGGUUUCUAGGAUUGACGUAAUGAUUAAUAGGGAUAGUUGGGGGCAUUAGUAUUCAAUUGUCAGAGGUGAAAUUCUUGGAUUUAUUGAAGACUGACUAUUGCGAAAGCAUUUGCCAAGGAUGUUUUCAUUAAUCAAGAACGAAAGUUAGGGGAUCGAAGACGAUCAGAUACCGUCGUA
rnacentral:rRNA from 1 species